GAUGAACGCUGGCGGCGUGCUUAACACAUGCAAGUCGAACGGUGAAGGCGGAGCUUGCUCUGCUGGAUCAGUGGCGAACGGGUGAGUAACACGUGAGCAAUCUGCCCCUGACUCUGGGAUAAGCGCUGGAAACGGCGUCUAAUACUGGAUACGAGCUGCGAAGGCAUCUUCAGCAGCUGGAAAGAAUUUCGGUCAGGGAUGAGCUCGCGGCCUAUCAGCUUGUUGGUGAGGUAAUGGCUCACCAAGGCGUCGACGGGUAGCCGGCCUGAGAGGGUGACCGGCCACACUGGGACUGAGACACGGCCCAGACUCCUACGGGAGGCAGCAGUGGGGAAUAUUGCACAAUGGGCGAAAGCCUGAUGCAGCAACGCCGCGUGAGGGACGACGGCCUUCGGGUUGUAAACCACUUUUAGCAGGGAAGAAGCGAAAGUGACGGUACCUGCAGAAAAAGCGCCGGCUAACUACGUG
rnacentral:rRNA from 1 species